UGCAGUUUGUUAGCAAUGUUAUUGUCCAUCAACCAAUAUAUUAUAAUUUUUGUUGUACCGAGUACAUUUCAAUCAAUUUACAAUAAUAAGUGUUGCAUAAACAAUGAAUUAUUAUUAUUAAAGCGUUUUGUAUUUUGCACAAAGCAGGUUUAAUGCUUUGUGGUGUUUGGUAUGUUUAAGAUUGAUUAGAAGCUGACAAAAUGGCAGAAAGAAGAAAGGAGACCAUUUAAGCUACAAAAAUUGGUAACCAAAAAGAAAUAGACAGAGAUGCUAGAAUGUUAUUAAUGAAAAAAAUUAAAUAAAUAAAUAAACAGUUAACCAUUUUA